CCUAGGUAGUUACCUUUUCGUCUGAGCUAGGAACAUGAACUGUGUACAGGACGUUAUAGAUUUCCUGAGAUGUUUUGGGUAACCAAAAAUCUGAUGGGUUUGUGUGCAGCAUGAAUAACCCGAUUAAAAAAAUGAAAACUUAAACACAGCCCAAACAGACCCCCCCUCCCUUCAGUGACCCUACGCCGCUGGAUUGAGCCAGGCCUCCUUCAGUCUCCCGCAGCAGCGGCGAGAGUCGCCGGCGGCAGCUAAUGAUGGAGGAGGCCGGGCUUGAGUUCCUGCAACACGCCGUCGACCGUUUCCUCUAAGGGACGAGUUCGCCGACAGCUUGGACCACCCAGAUCUGGUGCCGCUUGAGUUGUUGCAAUCAGGUCGAGCUAUUCAGGGUGGCAGUGUGAAGGAACUGAUGCCUCUGAAUGUGGGCAGUGUGCUGGCGGCAGCGGAGCUGCCGCGGAGAAGUGCGGCGAGCGCCGUCGGCGUGAGACAUCCCCAACUGCUUCAGCACAAUCCACUGACAGGGUUAACCCAGAGGCCCCUAGUUGGACUAAAUGGUUUACUGAACUACUGAAUUUUAAGUUUACAGUGUACUGUCCUACAUUUUUGUGUGGUGAUAAAAACUCUGUUAUCCAUUCAGAUGUUUUUUUCUUCUGCUAAUUCAUUAUAAUGUGCAAAGAAAAUGUAGAACAGAUCCCCUGAUGCAUAUUUGUUUGUGAUUCAUUCACACUGUUAUGUGAACUGAAAACAAGUGUUGGCUGUAAACAAGAUGCAAACAAUCAAGGAUGUUGGCAGUACUGAAUCAGCAAAAAACAUCGUAUAAUAAACCCCCAAAACAGAAAUGUACAUGUUCCGCAUUAAUAAUUGGUGUGGUGAAAAUUCAGGUUACGCCUGGGCAGUGCCCCUCCCGAUAGGACACCAUGCCCCUCUCGCAUGAGUGCGCAGGAGCAGACAAAUCAGAAGUAUGCAAACGGUGGAUGACGAUGUGGGUUGUUGUGAAAAAAAUAACAAAGCGUGACCAAGGGAUCCAGACUGCCCCACUCUGGCCCCCGCUGUUUCUUUCCCCACUGAAAUGCUUGCUGGUCGUGCGGCGGCGGCUUGAAUCUCGGCACCGGAGGGGAUGGAAGAUGCCGGACUUGAGGUCCUGAUUGAUGCCAUCGACCGGUUUCCCCUACAGGAGGAGUUCACUGACAGUUUGGAACACCCAAAUCCAGUGCCGCUUGCCUUGUUGUCGCCUGCCCAGGCGAAUCCGGAGGGGGAAGGAUGAACAGAAUCUCGCCUCCGGAGAGGUGCGGGCAGCAUGUCGGUGCUGGUGCCGCGGGCGGGACGAACCGCGGAGACCGACAGUGGCGAGAGACAUCGCCCACUGCAUCAGCGCGGUACACUGACAGGGUUAACCCAGAAGCCCCUGGGUGGACAAAAAAAGUUAGCUUAAUUAAUUAGGCCUAAUUAAUUCCGUUUGCGUUGCUUAAGCAUGUAUGUUGGCAGCAGCAAACUGUCGUGGACUAUCUGGAGAUAUGGGGUAUCUGAUACCUGGUCAACACUCGUGGCAGCGGGCUAGGUUCUUCGGUUGGAAAUGGUAAUACAGAGGCUGAUUAGUCAGCAAGGAGUGUGUUGGGCGAGAAGUACCCCCCUUCAGUUGGACUCAAUCAUGCUGAACCAUCAGAUGCCGAUGUGCUUCGGUUCAUUGGCAAGAUGAAUGGGUGCAGCGAAAGCAUGGAAAUGAUUCAAGAACUUUCAUCCCCUGCUUGUUGUGGCAUCUGGUCAUGACAUUAAAAGAUGAACUGUCUCCUGGAGGGGAGGUGACAUUAAACAUAAUGAGAUGCAUAGAGCGAAUGCUAAGUGGAAAGGAACGAAGGAUGUACCGUGGUCCUGAACUGUGGUUGGCUUGCGAGAUGGAGACGCAUUUUCGAUCCACAGUUUAUGGAUGUCAUGCAGGAAGAGCUUUGCAAUGGACUGGGACUACAUCACCAUGAUGAUGAACUCUGAAAAGAUGGGCUACAGAGUUGACUGGCUAAAGAAGAGAAGAAGAUUAUGAUGAUACUUGACCCAACGGAGACAGAUCCGGCGGAUGGGAUAAAAAGGAAGCAUGAGGGGCUGGCAAAGCAAUUCCAUGUUUGGUUCUGUACCCUUUUCAACGAUAUAUUCAGUGCUGGGUUGGUUGAGAAGACCGAAUGGAAAUUCGUGUACCCUUUGGGAGGAUAGUGGGGGCGUAUGUCGGGCACUACAUCCUUCAGUUCACUGGUCUGUACCUGAGAUCUACUGUAAGACCAGGAGCAGAUCGAGUACCUUAGGAAGAAGUAUUUAUCCUUUUAUCAAAAAAAAACUGCAGGUCAUCCCUUGGGUGGCAGUGGGGUGCAAGGUGGCCUUCACAUUAGAAAUGGCGUUGAGAAUGCAAAUCCUACAGGGACAAGGCCUUGAGAUCGAGAAAUGUGCAGGCUAAGGCGGCGGCUGGAGUUCAGAAAUGAAGAUUAAGUUGGUUUGGGUGGUACUAGUUCAGGUGCCGGGAAUAUGGAAACAGAUGAGUACAAUGCGUUUGCUGGAACUGGCAACCAAAUUGGAAUUCCUGAUGGGGUUGUGGCGGGCGAACGGGCAAAAUUGGAACAUGAAUAUGCUCGGUUCACUGGGAUUCUUCCAGCUCGAGUGUGAGAGGGGGGUAACGGUACAGCCAUACAGGUGCAGGGGUUCCUCCAAUACCCGAUGAAGAACAGUGUGCACGCGUGCGCACACUUGCUGCUGCGGCGCUAGAUAUGGUUGACCGAGCAAUAAACAAUCCUGAAAUAUUUGAAGUGGUAUUUGAUCACGCCAGAAGUCUGCUGGAGAGGGUUCGCGGCAUAGAUUAAAAUAGCCCGCGAAAUAGCCGCGAUAGCUGCGCUAUAGCUGCCCAGGAGCCUUGCCGCUACGCUAUGGCUGCUGCCGCGAAAUCCUCCGCAACUCCCUGUAAAUGGUUCAGCAAUGAGCAAAACCCUCCGGAAA